rnacentral:rRNA from 1 species
UACUGUGGGUGGCGAGUGGCGGACGGGUGAGGAAUGCAUCGGAAUCUGCCUAUUUGUGGGGGAUAACGUAGGGAAACUUACGCUAAUACCGCAUACGUCCUACGGGAGAAAGUGGGGGACCUUCGGGCCUCACGCAGAUAGAUGAGCCGAUGCCGGAUUAGCUAGUUGGCGGGGUAAAGGCCCACCAAGGCGACGAUCCGUAGCUGGUCUGAGAGGAUGAUCAGCCACACUGGAACUGAGACACGGUCCAGACUCCUACGGGAGGCAGCAGUGGGGAAUAUUGGACAAUGGGCGCAAGCCUGAUCCAGCCAUGCCGCGUGUGUGAAGAAGGCCUUCGGGUUGUAAAGCACUUUUGUCCGGAAAGAAAAGCUUCGGGUUAAUAACCCGGAGUUAUGACGGUACCGGAAGAAUAAGCACCGGCUAACUUCGUGCCAGCAGCCGCGGUAAUACGAAGGGUGCAAGCGUUACUCGGAAUUACUGGGCGUAAAGCGUGCGUAGGUGGUUUGUUAAGUCUGAUGUGAAAGCCCUGGGCUCAACCUGGGAACUGCAUUGGAAACUGGCUGACUAGAGUGCGGUAGAGG